rnacentral:rRNA from 1 species
UGGCUCAGGAUGAACGCUGGCGGCGUGCCUAACACAUGCAAGUCGAACGAAGCACUUCUGAUCGGAGAUUCGUCGAAGAGAAGAUUUGACUUAGUGGCGGACGGGUGAGUAAUGCGUGAGCAACCUGCCUUUCAGAGGGGGACAACAGUUGGAAACGACUGCUAAUACCGCAUAAUGUAUUCGGGGGGCAUCCUCUGGAUACCAAAGGAGCAAUCCGCUGAAAGAUGGGCUCACGUCUGAUUAGCUAGUUGGUGAGGUAACGGCUCACCAAGGCUGCGAUCAGUAGCCGGACUGAGAGGUUGAACGGCCACAUUGGGACUGAGAUACGGCCCAGACUCCUACGGGAGGCAGCAGUGGGGAAUAUUGGGCAAUGGGCGAAAGCCUGACCCAGCAACGCCGCGUGAAGGAAGAAGGUCUUCGGAUUGUAAACUUCUUUUAUGAGGGACGAAGGACGUGACGGUACCUCAUGAAUAAGCCACGGCUAACUACGUGCC